rnacentral:lncRNA from 1 species
UUGUAGAAAUCUACGGUCAUCUUCAGCCCCAAGAUGAAAAUCCAGGUAAAGGAGACGAUUCGAGAGAGGUUGGGGUUCCAGAAGUUGACCAAGGCCUUGAUCUAUCUGGAUAUUCCUAUCACAGGGUGGCAACUCCAAAGGACCAACUGUAGACUUAUGGAAUAGUGGGUUCAGGAUCGUCUUGAGAGGUGGCAAGCCAAUGCUCUCUUUAUGAUAGGUAGGAUGACUCUUGUG